GCGGCUGUGGCGGAAUUGGCAGACGCGCCAGAUUUAGGAUCUGGUGUCCACGACGUGCAGGUUCAAGCCCUGUCAGCCGCACCA
rnacentral:tRNA from 2 species